AUUGAACGCUGGCGGCAGGCUUAACACAUGCAAGUCGAACGAGCGGCGGACGGGUGAGUAAUGCAUGGGAAUCUACCUUAUGGAGGGGGAUAACUCCGGGAAACUGUAGCUAAUACCGCGUACCAUAGGAUGAGCCCAAAGGGGAUUAGGUAGUUGGUGAGGUAAAGGCUCACCAAGCCGACGAUCUCUAGCUGGUCUGAGAGGAUGACCAGCCACACUGGGACUGAGACACGGCCCAGACUCCUACGGGAGGCAGCAGUGGGGAAUAUUGCGCAAUGGGGGCAACCUGACGCAGCCAUGCCGCGUGAAUGAAGAAGGCCUUCGGGUUGUAAAGUUCUUUCGGUGGCGAGGCGUUAACUACAGAAGAAGCACCGGCUAACUCCGUGCCAGCAGCCGCGGUAAUUC
rnacentral:rRNA from 1 species